CAAAAGUGAAGUUGUGAUACUUACUAAUUACAGUCUUUGUAAUUUACAUUUUCUUAUGAAAACUGUUAAUUAUGUCUCUCAAUAUCUCUGUGAUUUUUUUUAAUUUAGAUGCAUUUGAAAUGUGCAAGAACAAAUCCUUGAAGCAAAUUUAUAAAACAUAAAGGAGAUUGAAGAGGAGAAAGGCAUCGUGAAGUGUAUUUGCCAUGAGAGAAGUAGACUCCGACUACAGCACAUACGGAGAGGUAAAAUUUGUAGGACAUAGUCAGUAUGAAAUAAAGAAAUGGG
rnacentral:lncRNA from 1 species